AGAGUUUUCACAACUCCCAA
rnacentral:rRNA from 1 species